rnacentral:rRNA from 1 species
GACGAACCGUGCGAACGUUGUUCGGAAUCACUGGGCUUAAAGGGCGCGUAGGCGGAGGGUGUAGUCGGUGGUGAAAUCCUCCAGCUCAACUGGAGAAUGGCCUCCGAUACUGACUCUCUCGAGGGAGGUAGGGGCAUGUGGAACUCAGGGUGGAGCGGUGAAAUGCGUAGAUAUCCUGAGGAACGCCGGUGGCGAAAGCGACGUGCUGGACCUCUUCUGACGCUGAGGCGCGAAAGCCAGGGGAGCAAACGGG